CGGGGUCAAUGUGUAAUAUUAAGAAAGUUAGGGCAUAAUGGAUGGAAUUGAUAAAAAUUAUAUUAUGGAGGAUAUUUUAGACUAAAGACAUGGGAAUGAGUUUAUUUGAAAGACUGUUUUUUUUUUACCAAUGUGCAUUUAAGUCCCUUGUCAUGGGCCUAUUUGCCACUCGCCCUAUAACUUUCCCGUACUAAAUACAACCUUAUCUUAGAAUUAACUUAUUUAGCUAACCAAAUAAGCGCAUGAUCUAUUACAUGCAUGAUACAUAACCAAAGUCAAAUUCCCAUAAUAUUAAAUCACCUCACAAAACUCUAAAACCAUAAAAUAAAAUAAAAAUAAAAAUAAAUAGAGAAAGACAAAAGAAGAUAUUAGUUAUCCACCUAUUAAAUUUAACAAAAGUUAUUAAAUUAAAGGAGUAAGUUCACGCUAUGCAUUUAGCCAAGAACCUAAGUCUUUUUUCAAAUAAAUUGCACGCGUGAUAUAUACAUAUCAACCGGCCAGUUCUUUUUAUUUUUCAAUUUAUUUCUUCUGGAUCUUAUUUUUGUUGCACUUGAGCUUGAGCCAACUCACACCGGUCGACGCCCCCUCCUUGACCUUUUUGACCCCCACCUUCGUUUUCUCCACCCCCGCGGAUGCCACCUCCUUAGUUGCCUCCUUUGUCCGCUCGAACUUUUGGCUGACUCUCGUCGAAAGCUUCGGGGAUGGCCCACCGAGCCUCUCAGCCUUGGGGACCGACUUGGUGCUGGCCCCCCACGGGUUAUCGAUAAUCGCCAUUGUUUUUUAACCUAGUUUUUGGUGCUACCGUAUCCUCUCAAGAAAAGACUGAUUUUUCGUUGAGUCUUUCUUGAGAAUAUGUUAUAAAAGAUGGUUAUGAUGAUGAAGAUGUACAAAUUAAGGAUGUGUGCUUUUUAAUAUUUGAGGUUCAUGGACGAGCUUUUUUUACGGGUUAUUCUUACGGUAGUUCGAAGCAAUGGUGCGUAC
rnacentral:lncRNA from 1 species